GAUGAACGCUGGCGGCGUGCCUGAUACAUGCAAGUCGAGCGAAUGGAUUAAGAGCUUGCUCUUAUGAAGUUAGCGGCGGACGGGUGAGUAACACGUGGGUAACCUGCCCAUAAGACUGGGAUAACUCCGGGAAACCGGGGCUAAUACCGGAUAACAUUUUGAACCGCAUGGUUCGAAAGUGAAAGGGGGCUUCGGCUGUCACUUAUGGAUGGACCCGCGUCGCAUUAGCUAGUUGGUGAGGUAACGGCUCACCAAGGCAACGAUGCGUAGCCGACCUGAGAGGGUGAUCGGCCACACUGGGACUGAGACACGGCCCAGACUCCUACGGGAGGCAGCAGUAGGGAAUCUUCCGCAAUGGACGAAAGUCUGACGGAGCAACGCCGCGUGAGUGAUGAAGGCUUUCGGGUCGUAAAACUCUGUUGUUAGGGAAGAACAAGUGCUAGUUGAAUAAGCUGGCACCUUGACGGUACCUAACCAGAAAGCCACGGCUAACUACGUGCCAGCCGCCGCUGUAA
rnacentral:rRNA from 1 species